AUUGAACGCUGGCGGCAGGCCUAACACAUGCAAGUCGAACGAGAGGAGGACGGGUGAGUAAUGUCUGGGAAACUGCCUGAGGGAGGGGGAUAACUACUGGAAACGGUAGAAAAUACUGCAUACCAUCAGAUGGGCCCAGAUGGGAUUAGCUGGCUGGUGGGGUAACGGCUGACCAAGGCGACGAUCCCUAGCUGGUCUGAGAGGAUGACCAGCCACACUGGAAUUGAGACACGGUCCAGCCUCCUACGGGAGGCAGCCGUGGGGAAUAUUGCGCAAUGGGCGCAAGCCUGAUUCAGCCAUGCCGCGUUUAUGAAGAAGGCCUUCGGUUUGUAAAGUCCUUUCAGCGGGGAGGCGUUACCCGCAGAAGAAGCACCGGCUAACUCCGUGCCAGCAGCCGCGGUAAUUC
rnacentral:rRNA from 1 species